UUGAAGUCGAACGCAUCUUCGGACUUCUCUCCGCUGAGUCCCGACGCCUCGCCGCCGCGAUGAAGAUGCCAUCUGCACGGGCACACCAGAAGCGCUGCCGCGACACUGCGGGCGAUGACAUUGACGUGGGCGGGGCUCGCGGCGCCCCCCGGCGCGCCACCUUCGCCGUCGAGGACGCGCGCCCAGCGGAGCAGCUCGAGCCGGCAGAGGCAUUGAAGGACGACGGCUCACGGCAAGAACACACUCCGUUGGAGCCUUGCAGUGUGAAUAGGGAUGCGGCGACCCAAGUUUCUGAAGCUCAGCUCCUGCAAGAAUUUGGCAGCGUGAAGCGGAUGUGUCGACACAAGUUUCUGAAGAUGAUCUGCGCAACGACGGCUCAUGGCGAGAACACUCUCCGGUGGAUAAAGACCAGGAACCCUUCGAUUCCUUUGUACCUACUGUGCCGGAACUGCUUCCUGAUGCGGCGACCGGCGUUUAUGAAGAUGAGCUGCCGCCGCUGCCGUUCGAUGGUUCCGCUGACUUCACCGAAUAUGCAACUAUUCCCUUCCAGUUCGAGGCUUACACCGCACCGAUGGACCAGGAGUUCGUCGGCUUUCUCAACUUUUUCUGUGAGCAAUGGUACUGAUCCCCGGAUAUCUCCUCCUACGUCAGUAUGUGCCAGUGUUCAACUAUGGCACAAAGGCCCUGCUGCUAUGCUGUUAUGCAGGCUAUGAUUUUGAAUGAGCUACUCUGUAUGGGCAAUUUGGCACUCAAAUGUCUGAAUUUCUUGUGUGUCAAUCAUGU
rnacentral:lncRNA from 1 species